AUUGAACGCUGGCGGCAGGCCUAACACAUGCAAGUCGAACGAGCGGCGGACGGGUGAGAAUUGUCUCGGAAACAGCCUGUUGGAGGGGGAUAACAACUGGAAACGGUAGAUAUAACCGCACACCAUCAGAGGUGUCCAGAUGGGAUUCGCGAGUAGGUGGGGUAAAGGCUCACCUAGGCGACGAUCCCUAGCUGGUCUGGGAGGAUGACCAGCCCCACUGGAACUGAGACACGGUCCAGAAUCCUACGGGAGGCAGCAGUGGGGAAUAUUGCACAAUGGGCGCAAGCCUGAUGCAGCCAUGCCGCGUGUGUGAAGAAGGCCUUCGGGUUGUAAAGCACUUUCAGCGGGGAGGCGUUACCCGCAGAAGAAGCACCGGCUAACUCCGUGCCAGCAGCCGCGGUAAUUC
rnacentral:rRNA from 1 species